rnacentral:rRNA from 2 species
GACGAACGCUGGCGGCGUGCCUAACACAUGCAAGUCGAACGGGUGCAGCAAUGCAUCAGUGGCGGACGGGUGCGUAACGCGUGAACAAUCUGUCCCAGACAGGGGGAUAACGCCUGGAAACAGGCGCUAAUACCGCAUAAGACCACGAGGUGGCAUCAUCUUGGGGUAAAAGCCUUGGCGGUUUGGGGUGAGUUCGCGUCCCAUUAGAUAGUAGGUAGGGUAACGGCCUACCUAGUCUAGGAUGGGUAGCCGAUCUGAGAGGAUGAUCGGCCACACUGGAACUGAGAAACGGUCCAGACUCCUACGGGAGGCAGCAGUGGGGAAUAUUGGUCAAUGGGGGAAACCCUGAACCAGCGACGCCGCGUGAGGGAAGAAGGCCUUCGGGUCGUAAACCUCUGUCCCAUGUGAAGA